GGUGUGUGUGUGUGUGUGUGUGUGUGUGUAUUAGGUUAUUGCUAAUAAGGGCUGGUUGAUAUGGGCUGCAAUUAUACAGAUUAAUCUCA